GGGGAAAAACCAGAGUCGCCGACCGAGCGCGACGUCCACCAGUUUCGGACACUUCUUUGCUCGAGGGGAUGAUGACCGCCGACGGCACGAGGUCCGGAGAAGGUCGGAGCUCUCGGGGGUCGACAGAGCAUGAGUAGGACGUGUUCUUGAGCUUCAGAGGUUCGGAUACUCGGAAGGACAUCGCAGAUCAAGAGCACCCGAUGGGCAGCCAGUUCGGCUCGCAGCUUCUGGACGGGAUCGCGCGGUCCAAGAUUUCAAUCCCCAUCCUAUCUGAGAGCUACGCUUCCAGCGAAUGGUGCCUCUGCGAGCUCGUUCAGAUGGUGGAGAACAGGAAGAGCAGGGGACACGUGACGGGGAGGUUGGGGGAGGCCUUCCAUUCACACAAGAUUUGCUUUGAGCAAAGGGAUAUGGAGGCAGGGCAACAGGCGCUCAGAGGUGUCAGCUUCUUGAAAGGAUGGGAGUCAGAGAAAAUGGCUAAUGGGCGCUAACCGGAAGUUGCAAAAGAAAAAUGUGAAUUUUUGUCAAAUCCUGGGACAUUCUGCUGAGAUUAUAGGAAAAGCGGUUGAGAAAUGCUUUAGUGGUUGGGGGAUUAAAAGCAUUUUUUCCAUCACCGUGGAUAAUGCGAGGUCAAAUGACUUGGGAGUUCAAUACUUGAAAAAAAGACUUAACUCUCGGUAAUCUUUUGUAUUGAUAGAGUUGUCAACUACAAACAAGGAGCCGAACUGAAUAUUGGUUUCUCUUGAUGAUUGACGAACUAGGAGAUUUUGAGAGGGAAUUUCAAGAAUGAUGGUAAUUGUGGAUCAAUACCUGAACACCGAAGAGUUUGUUGAUACCGUGGCAGCUGAACUCAAGACAAGGCUUUCAUGCAGGGGCAAAAGAAAACUCUCAGUGCUCUCUCUUUUCUUUAACUUUUCUGUUUUUUGGUUUUCUAAUGUGAGGUGGGUCACGAGUAGGGGUGAGCAAAUUGGAAUUUGGUGUCUUUUUACUGUGAAGACUCCAUACUGUGAGUAGUUAGAAUGUAAGCCUGUGCAGUAGGGUUGGGAUGAGGUUCUUGUCUAAAUUUGGAGUAGGAUUUUCCUUUCCUUGUGUGAAAUUCAAGUCUAUGAUCUAUCUACACUGAAACAAUGUGGUCUAUAAGAAAUUUGGUAGUGUUGUGACAGUAA